GCCACCUCUGGCUAUGCACUAAAUCAUUGUGGUGAUCAAAGUGUUUCCUUUGAAAUCUGUUAAGUGCUACGUGCAAGUGUCAGUUGUUUUUUUAUCAGUAAGAUUUAUUGACAGUCACAGCACUAAGUACCUUACUUAGCAAAAUUUAAACCACAAAUUGAAACUUAGAGUCCAUAUUGGUUAGGAUGCUUAUAGGAAAAGCUAACAGAGAACUAGCUUCAAUAAUACAGGAUUUUACUGGCUCCUGUGCCUGUGAAGUUCAGAGGUGGGAGAGAAUUCAAGAGUGGGUGAUCAAAGAACUCAAAACCAGGGACAACAUUUCUUUUCAUCUUUUAUUCCCACCUUCUGUGGCAUCAGCCUCCUCCCAUGACUGGCUUCUCUUAGUCACAAAAAUGGCUGCUGACCUUGAACUCAUGAAUAGAGAGGAAGAGGAAGCAGGUAGAGAGAGAGAUCUUCUUGCAUUGAUGGCCUGAAUCUUGAGAUCCAUACUGAUUGGACAGUGUAGAUCAUGUGCUCACAACUAAACCCACUACUCUAGCUAGAUAAGGAAGGGAUGCUAAUUGACCUAAGGUAAUCCAGGCCCAUCCCUUGGGAGUAAGAUGUGGCAUGUGUGCUCCCUGGGGAGGAGAAGAUACUAAGGUAAAAACUAGGCUGCUAUCAGGGAAGGGCACCCCAACCCCAUGGUAACCAGCAAAUGAUCGCGGCAGAGCUUUAACCCCUGAGCAACGCACCUCCCUUAUCCUACUAAAUAGCACAAAAAUUUCCAUCCCACUGUAAGCUGCCCAACUUUCCAAACUGUCAUUUUUGGUUUAAGAAAAUGCAUAUUUUCAUCAGGCACCAUGGUGCAGACCUA
rnacentral:lncRNA from 1 species